GUGUCAGCAGCCGCGGUAAUACGUAGGGGGCGAGCGUUGUCCGGAAUUAUUGGGCGUAAAGGGCAUGCAGGCGGUCUGCUAAGUUCGGGGUGAAAGUCAUCAGCUUAACUGGUGAAGGACUUCGAAAACUGGUGGACUUGAGAGCGAGAGAGGGACAUGGAACUCCGGGUGGAGCGGUGAAAUGCGUAGAUAUCCGGAAGAACACCAAAGGCGCAGGCAGUGUCCUGGCUCGUUUCUGACGCUGAGGUGCGAAAGCUAGGGGAGCGAACGGGAUUAGAUACCCCGGUAGUCC
rnacentral:rRNA from 1 species